rnacentral:rRNA from 1 species
UACGUAGGGGGCGAGCGUUGUCCGGAAUUACUGGGUGUAAAGGGCGUGUAGGCGGUGAUGCAGGUUAUCGGUAAAAACCCGGGGCUCAACUCCGGGCUUGCCGAUAAAACUGCAUCACUUGAGUGCAGGAGAGGGAAGUGGAAUUCCCGGAGUAGCGGUGAAAUGCGUAGAUACCGGGAGGAACACCAGUGGCGAAGGCGGCUUCCUGGCCUGUAACUGACGCUGAGGCGCGAAAGCUGGGGGAGCGAAC